rnacentral:rRNA from 1 species
GACGAACGCUGGCGGCGCGCUUAAUACAUGCAAGUCGAGCGAGAACCAGAGCUUCGGCUCUGGGGACAGCGGCGAACGGGUGAGUAUCACGUGAGUAAUCUGCCCUCGGCACCGGGAUAGCCCGGGGAAACCCGGAUUAAUACCGGAUGGCCUCUCGAGCCCUCGGGCUCGUGAGAAAAGGUAGCUUCGGCCUCCGGCCGGGGAGGAGCUCGCGGCGGAUUAGCUUGUUGGUGGGGUAACGGCUCACCACGGCGACGAUCCGUAGCUGGUCUGAGAGGACGAGCAGCCACACUGGGACUGAGACACGGCCCAGACUCCUACGGGAGGCAGCAGUAGGGAAUCUUGCGCAAUGGGCGAAAGCCUGACGCAGCGACGCCGCGUGCGGGAAGAAGGCCUUCGGGUUGUAAACCGCUUUCAGGAGGGACGAAGCCACUCGGGUUAAUAGCCCAGAGGGUGACGGUACCUCCAGAAGAAGCCCCGGCUAACUACGUGCCAGCCGCCGCCGUAAAAC